CUGUAAAAAUUUAACAAGGCAAACUCNGAUCNAUUAAGUUUUGAAUCAUGGCCUCAAGGUUGAAACGCCUGGGCGGGCGNUGCCUUUUUUACAUGNGAAUUCGAAGCGGGGCGGGAUUUAUGCCUGNUUCAUCUUUCCGAACGGGUGUAGUAACGCGUGGGUGACCUACCCGGGAGAGGCGGACAACCAGGGGAAACUCAAGCUGAUCCGCCAUGUGGUCCUGUUCUGNGNGGCGGGACCAAAGGGUGGAUAGCCCGCUUCCGGAUGGGCCCGCGUCCCAUCANCUGGUUGGUGGGGUAAAGGCCCACCAAGGCGACGACNGGUAGCCGGUCUGAAAGGAUGGCCGGCCACAUGGGCACUGAUAACGGGCCCCACUCCUACGGGAGGCAGCAGUUANGAAUUUUCCGCAAUGGACGGAGGUCUGACUUUACGACGCCGCUUGGAAGGAGGAAGCCCUUCCGGGGUGUAAACUCUUGAAAUGGGGGCGAAAAGCCCUGGUGUUGGGGGAUGAACGGUUCCCAGGUAAUAUCCGCCGGCCCAACUCCAAGNCAUCNACCCGCGGUAANAAAUGAGGGCGCNAGCGCUUNCCGAAUUUUACUGCGCCGAAAAAGGGGUGUANGCCGUCUGGGGGCUUCCCUNGUUAAGGCCCC
rnacentral:rRNA from 1 species